UCAGGAUGAACGCNGGCGGCGUGCUUAACACAUGCAAGUCGAACGGUGAAGCAGGAGCUUGCUCUUGUGGAUCAGUGGCGAACGGGUGAGUAACACGUGAGCAACCUGCCCCUGACUCUGGGAUAAGCGCUGGAAACGGCGUCUAAUACUGGAUACGAACCGCGAAGGCAUCUUCAGUGGUUGGAAAGAUUUUUCGGUUGGGGAUGGGCUCGCGGCCUAUCAGCUUGUUGGUGAGGUAAUGGCUCACCAAGGCGUCGACGGGUAGCCGGCCUGAGAGGGUGACCGGCCACACUGGGACUGAGACACGGCCCAGACUCCUACGGGAGGCAGCAGUGGGGAAUAUUGCACAAUGGGCGGAAGCCUGAUGCAGCAACGCCGCGUGAGGGAUGACGGCCUUCGGGUUGUAAACCUCUUUUAGCAGGGAAGAAGCGAAAGUGACGGUACCUGCAGAAAAAGCGCCGGCUAACUACGUGCCAGCAGCCGCGGUAAUACGUAGGGCGCAAGCGUUAUCCGGAAUUAUUGGGCGUAAAGAGCUCGUAGGCGGUUUGUCGCGUCUGCUGUGAAAUCCCGAGGCUCAACCUCGGGCCUGCAGUGGGUACGGGCAGACUAGAGUGCGGUAGGGGAGAUUGGAAUUCCUGGUGUAGCGGUGAAUGCGCAGAUAUCAGGAGGAACACCGAUGGCGAAGGCAGAUCUCUGGGCCGUAACUGAC
rnacentral:rRNA from 1 species